rnacentral:tRNA from 1 species
GCAGUCGUGGCAGAGUGGUUAAGGCGACGGGGUAGAAAUCCAUUAGGUCCCGCACAGGUUCGAGCCCUGUAGACUGCG